rnacentral:rRNA from 1 species
AUUGAACGCUGGCGGCAUGCCUUACACAUGCAAGUCGAACGGUAACAGGUCUUCGGAUGCUGACGAGUGGCGAACGGGUGAGUAAUACAUCGGAACGUGCCUAGUAGUGGGGGAUAACUACUCGAAAGAGUGGCUAAUACCGCAUGAGAUCUACGGAUGAAAGCAGGGGAUCGCAGGACCUUGUGCUACCAGAGCGGCCGAUGGCAGAUUAGGGAGUUGGUGGGAUAAAAGCUGACCAAGCCGACGAGCUGUAGCUGGUCUGAGAGGACGAUCAGCCACACUGGGACUGGGAAACGGCCCAGACUCCUACGGGAGGCAGCAGUGGGGAAUUUUGGACAAUGGGCGCAAGCCUGAUCCAGCAAUGCCGCGUGCAGGAUGAAGGCCUUCGGGUUGUAAACUGCUUUUGUACGGAACGAAAAGCCCCGGGUUAAUACCCUGGGGUCAUGACGGUACCGUAAGAAUAAGCACCGGCUAACUACGUGCCAGCAGCCGCCGUAA